CAAUUGCAUAUCAAUAACCGGAGGAAAGAACCAACAGGGAUUGCCUUAGUAGCGGCGAGUGAAGCGGCAAAAGCUCAAUUUGAAUCUGGCGCCUUCGGUGUCCGAGUUGUAAUUUGAAGAUUGUAACCUUGGGGUUGGCUCUUGUCUAUGUUUCUUGGAACAGGACGUCACAGAGGGUGAGAAUCCCGUGCGAUGAGAUGCCCAAUUCUAUGUAAGGUGCUUUCGAAGAGUCGAGUUGUUUGGGAAUGCAGCUCUAAGUGGGUGGUAAAUUCCNAUCUAAAGCUAAAUAUUGGCGAGAGACCGAUAGCGAACAAGUACAGUGAUGGAAGAUGAAAGACUUUGAAAGAAGAGUGAAAAGUAACCGAAAUUGUUGAAAGGGAAGGGUUUGAAAAUCCAAUCAAAUUUUUGGGAGCCUUGCUUCGGGGCGGGUGACCCACCUUAACGGGCCAAUCGUUUGGCCGCCCUGGGAAGGGGAUCCAAUUUUUAUUAAGUUGCUUUGGAAGGGUCGAGUUGUUGGGAACGCAGCUUUAAGUGGGUGGUAAAUUCCAUUUAAAGCUAAAUAUUGGCGAGAGACCGAUAGCGAACAAGUACAGUGAUGUAAAGAUGAAAAGAACUUUGAAAAGAGAGUGAAAAAGUACGUGAAAUUGUUGAAAGGGAAGGGUUUGAGAUCAGACUCGAUAUUUUGUGAGCCUUGCUUCGUGGCGGGGUGACCCGCAGCUUAUCGGGCCAGCAUCGGUUUGGGCGGUAGGAUAAUGGCGUAGGAAUGUGACUUUACUUCGGUGAAGUGUUAUAGCCUGCGUUGAUGCUGCCUGCCUAGACCGAGGACUGCGAUUUUAUCAAGGAUGCUGGCAUAAUGAUCCCAAACCGCCCGUCUGAAACACGGACCAAUCAC
rnacentral:rRNA from 1 species